UUCCUGAGUGGGGGAUUUCUGUAGGCACUUUAUUUCUCCAGUUUCAAAAGCUUCGGCUUGGCCCGAAUUAGGGGCUGUCCGAUCCUGUUUCUAUUACCCAUUCAAAUCUAUGGCUUGAACCUCUGCACUGAAAAAUCAAGUCUAU
ensembl:misc_RNA